UUAUUGGAGAGUUUGAUCCUGGCUCAGGAUGAACGCUGGCGGCGUGCCUAAUACAUGCAAGUCGAGCGAAUGGAUUAAGAGCUUGCUCUUAUGAA
rnacentral:rRNA from 1 species